rnacentral:rRNA from 1 species
GACGAACGCUGGCGGCGUGCUUAACACAUGCCAGUCGAACGGAAAGGCCCCUUCGGGGGUACUCGAGUGGCGAACGGGUGAGUAACACGUGAGUAACCUGCCCUUGACUUCGGGAUAACUUCAGGAAACUGGGGCUAAUACCGGAUAGGAAUCCUUGCUGCAUGGUGGGGGUUGGAAAGCUUCGGCGGUUUUGGGUGGACUCGCGGCUUAUCAGCUUGUUGGUGGGGUAGUGGCUUACCAAGGCUUUGACGGGUAGCCGGCCUGAGAGGGCGACCGGCCACAUUGGGACUGAGAUACGGCCCAGACUCCUACGGGAGGCAGCAGUGGGGAAUAUUGCACAAUGGGCGGAAGCCUGAUGCAGCAACGCCGCGUGCGGGAUGACGGCCUUCGGGUUGUAAACCGCUUUCAGCAGGGGCGAAGCUUGUGGUGACGGUACCUGCAGAAGAAGCACCGGCUAACUACGUG